GACCCGGACCCCUCCCCGGCUCCCUCCGGCGUUGCCCCGGGCUCCCCUCACACCGACCCCUGGGGCUGUCCCCGACCCACCCUCACACCGACCCCCCGGCUGCCCCGGGCUUCCCUCACACCGGCCCCCAGGGCUGUCCUCGACCCACCCUCACACCGACGCCGGGGCUUCCCCACGGCUUGGCGGUGCCGGGGCGAUGGUCCCUGCCCUCAGCGCCCCGGGGCUCCCGCCGGGGUGAGGAGGGAGGCAGGGGACGCCCAGGCGCUGCCCCCCCGGCGGUGGCCCUUGGUGGGCACUGGGGAGCGGGAGCCGCCUGCCCGGCCCCUGCCGGGCUCGGCCAGCGCUGGGCUCAGGCGGCACAGCUGCCCUUGGCCCACCUUGACUUGCCCUAGCGCCAUGUGGGCUUUGCUGCCUGCGGCCGUGCCCGGAGGCAGAGCCACAGCAUCCAGCAGCUGAGAAGAGCAUAAUCCCUAGAAAUCCUUUAACAAAGCAAAUGGAAAAGCUCCUGUGUUUGAAAACAGCCCUGAGAAGAGCUGCAUUUUUGUCUUGGAGAGGCUGUUAUUUACAUGGAAAAAUAUUGUAUGUAUUGUGCAUAUUUCUAGUCUUCUUCCCACAGAAUCAUCCAAGGAAGUUCUUGCUCAACAACAUGUGUUCAAAUCACCGCUUAACUGCACGAGAGUUCAUUUUGAAAACUUUUCGCUACUUUACUGUUUUGAUAGAAAAAAGUCAAAUGGCACUGGCACAUCUUCUGGCCUGUAUGAGAGACUGUCCACUGUAGACCUGCCCAGGUGGGAUCACGUGCAGCUCCAAGGGAUGGAGAGUCUGCAUGUUGGACUUGCUCAUCCUCGUGCCUGAUCGUUGAAACUUCUGGAGAGCUGCUGUGGCACAGCACUGACGGCAGGACGUUGAUCCUCAUCUGUUCCCAGCUCAACGCUGCCUGGUGCCGUCGGAGUGUCAAUGCUUUGCUUAACAGAUAAAUGCAAACCUCAGGAAAGCUGUAUCAGCAGUGGCACCGAGAUGUUGUGCUGCAGCAAUGUCAGAGCAUCACAACAUUCCUAAAGUUCCGAUUUGGUCUCUCACGCAGAAAAUUGGUAUUUCAUGGAUCUGGAGGCCCUCACUGACUGUUUGCCUCAGAAUCCAGUUUGAAAUUGUACUCCUUGUUUUUCAAACCACACCCUCGCUCCUUGGACUUCUUUCCAGCUUGUCUCCUGGAGACGUGGAGCCCUCCCCUUUCCUCCCCUCUGUCUCUUCUCUCCUUCCAACAGGCUCCUCACUGCUGAGUCGAGAACUGACUCCUCUCACCAUCUCCCAUCCAGAGCUGACUCCUUGUGCAUGUCCCACAGUCAUUCUCCAUUUUAGUGCAAAGUUCCACUCAAAUAAUGCUCUUUUCUCCUGGAAUUCAAUUCUCCUUUUCCAUCUGUUCUUACUGAAUGCAUAACUCUGGGUCAUACAAAGCGCUCUGAGGCUCUGGAUGAGUUUCUUCUGUGGUUUGUGUAAGUCAUUGUGCAAGCUCCUGAGAGUCAGCUGGUAAAAAUGGUAAUUUUUUAAAAAAAUUAUUUGAAAUGUAAAGAUUCUGUUGCAGAGAUGUUUAAUAUGUAAUUGUUUAAUGUUUAAAUUCCCUCUAGUUCAUUCUUUGAAAGAAGAAUGGCAUUGUACAUGCUUAGAAUUUAAAGGCAAUCCCCUGCUAUGGUGGAUUUAACUCCUGACAUGUUCUUGAUAAAGGUCACUUUUUGAAUUUAGUUCAGUAUGUGAAGCCCCAUCCUGUAGUCCCUGUACAUGAAAUCUCUGCUGGAGAUUAUAAUCCCCAUCAUCUCCAUCAGCAGAUUCUGAUGGCAUUUAAUGUCAAAAUGAACAGAAGUGUCUAGAGGCAGUAGCAGUGCAGGCUGCAGGUCUUGAGGUUCCCCACAGAGAAUGCCAUGAUGAUACAUAAUUUACUUGUAGCUUGCAAACAAUAUGCCUGUCUUGCCUCCCAGAAGCAUUUCCGUUGGAAGGAGCCAUUUCUGUCCAUGAGCAGUACACGGACAUCGAUGCUCUCUGUGCAUUCUUAGAGCCAUUUGCUCCUUCCCUGGACACUGGUGUUCUCCAGGCUUUACAGCACAGGUGCUGAAUCCCUUACAUGGCAGUUUCUCAGCCGAAAUUGCAGCUCCUCCAACAGCCUUGUAAAAACAGAGAUCUACUGGUGAGUGACGCAAAGCCGGAUAAAGGGCACGGGAGUCAACGUGUGCCUUCAGAAUCCUGACAGAGGGAUCAGGGCUCUGUGCUACAACAACCUUUGGAGAAGCUGAAUUCCUCCGGGGUGUUUCCUCUGGCAGCUCAUUCAUCAAGCAGAUAGAGGGUGAAUGUGUUCUUUGAAAACAUAACCAGUGGCAAGGGCUGAGGUAGCUGAUACAAAUCCAGGGUGCAUCUCUCACUAAUUUCACCAGGUCUGGAAUGACAGAAACCAAGCUACGCUUCUAAACAGACCAAGUAAAAUCUUAGCCUAGAUGGUCCGAGUGGUUGAACACCACUUAGGAGCAUAACUAGUCAGUGUGCACAAAUAGGGCAUGAGAAAGGGCUGGGAAGGACCUGGAGGGGUCUGCUGGUUGUCACCUCUGUCCUACAGCAAGGCUGAGUGAGCCAAUGUUGGCCAAUUGCAGAUUAACAGGGUGAUUUGGGAAAUGCUGAAUAUAUUGACUGUUAGGGCCUUUUAGCUAUUUCCUUUGAAAUAGACCCUUGACAGGGAAAACCUCAGUGUUCAUUUUCUUAACGUUAUUACAUUAUCCAGGAAAGAGAAUGAAGCCAAGAAAAGCAGAAACCCUGUUACAUUUUCAAGUAUAGUGGUAAACUAUGCAGAUUGUAAACAGACUUUUUAUUUUCUAUAGGGCAUUUAAAAUAUAUUUCCCCUUCUCUUAAUCCUGGCAAGAAGCACUCUCUAAACUCAUAAGCUAUGAAUUCCCCCAUCUCCAGAAGGAAACAACUCUUUAUGACUGUUCUUGUUUGCCUUGCUUCCUUUUCCCCACCACAGUAAGUUUUGAGAUCAGUGGCCAAAUUCAGCCAUAUGUGAUGGAGAGGAAUAAGCUCAAAGAAAUUGGAUUCCAGCAACUUUCAUGAAAACAGGCAGCCAGAGAGUGGAGAGACUUUUAUUUAGAAGGAAUGGCUGAAGUGGGAGUUCAGCCCUUACUGGAAAAUCUAUGAAGUCAGUGCAAACUGUGGGGAAAAAAAAGUCUUUGACCAAGGUCUGCACCUUCUUGAAUUAGUUUUAUUGUUCAUGAAAUAUUUUUGUUCCAUUCUUUUAUUCCCAAAUUCCUGCUUUUGUAUGAAUCUGUACCUUUGUCUGCAUUAACUUUAAAGAUAGGUUCAGAAAUCCUGUCCUGAAAACACCAUUAUUUCCUGAACUAUGUUCUUCCCUUCAAAACCAUGUUUUUGUUACACCAUGUAAUGCUAUUCUAUGUGACACAAAGGCCCUGUUUUUUUAUUAUCAGCUUGUAGGAUUUCAGGAAGCUGAAGAUAAAAGUCACCCUAAUUUUCUUAUUCACUCUUGGCUUUCUCUGUCUUGAACUGUUUGUGGAACAGGUUUAACGGACGUUCUCUGCAUUUCUUGGUUCUUAAUGACAUACACAACCUGAAUGUAACAGACUGGCUUUUCUUGAACUUCAGUCUUAACUAGAAUUUUCAAGACACAAACACAACACAAAGAUGUUUCCCCAAGAGGUUUAACAAUCACACAUUUUCUACCUUUUAGAUUUUUGACAACACAAGCAAGAUGGCUGAGCUGGAAUAAAAUGUAGGCAAGCACAGGCUUACAUGCUCAAAGUCCUCAUAAUGAAAUGACUAAGGUACCUUAAAAAAAAUUCCUACUAAGUGCUGGCAGAAGCAAUCCAUAAACACUUUGCUACCCUGUCACUAGAAUGAAUUUAGAUGACACAAGAUGAAGACAGCCAUGCCCCUUUAUGCCAGAGCUUUCAAUGUAAGUGAUGCUACUUAGGUGAGGGGUGUUGAAUAAAGGGAGAAAACCUUCUGUGCAGAGGCCUUAACAAGCACCAGAGGGAAUUUACAAUCCUAUCUCUUUAGACAGAUCUUCCCCAGUUUAAAGAAUAUUUGGUACUUUCUACUUUUCUAAAGGCCUGAGGGGUGCCCUGAAAUGUAAAAAAUUACACCAAUUUUUUGGCAAACUGUGCUGUUCCAGAUAUGUAGAGUAUCUUUAGCAAACACAAAAAUGAAAGGGGAAGCAUACAAAGUGCUAGUUAAACCAUGUAUUUAGCAUUUUGUCAUCAUGCUGCUUUGCGGAUUUUUGGUCCUCAUCGUGGAAAAAUGUGAUGUAAUAAAGUACUAAUUUCAAAAAGAAUAUAUGGAGGUUAUUAUGCAGUAGCUUUUUAUUGUCUCCUUUCUGCACCAAGCCAUACUGCAUCCAAAGGGGUGAGUUCUAGCUCCAGUGUUGGAAUUUUCCCUCUUCCAUCUUAGCUCUCUACAAGUCAUUUGCUCCAACUCAACCAGAGUCUAGUGCUUAAAAUUCUGGAUGGAGUGAGGCUCCAGCUCCAGCACAUCAGCAGUGAGUCAUCUUUGCGUGUUUCUAUCCAUUCAUGAAGGCUGAAACAUGUUAAUAAUAAGCAGCUCUUCUUUUGUUUCUUUGGUUAUGCUGCAAGAGGAGAACUAAAGAACUGAAAGAAACAAGUUUAGUGUUAAGAAAUAAGCACUUUCAUGAACCCUCCAAAAGAUCCUUAAACAUCUGCAUAUUUCUCUUGUAGCCCAGAACAUGUUUAAGACAGCACAUGAUGUGUUGCCUGAUGCAAGAACUAUGUUCAGUUAACGCAUAUUGCCAAGUUUGUGUCUGCAAACAGGAGCUUAAUUUGCUAUGUCUGGGCUGUGUCUGAUUGUACUCAUUCACAAAGCCAGCAAAAUAGCUGGAAAAGUGGUAGAAUACAGGAAACUGUUGAGCUUUUUGAUCAAUUAUUCCAAAACAAGAAUGAUCAAAUACAGGCCGUAGGAUUAAAACACAGUUGGAAUCCGUGCUCAUUUGUAAUAUAAAGUUAAACAUUUUGGAAUGGUCUGUCCCUUCCCAGUCCACCCACUCAUGUCAAAAGAUGAUGCAGUUGGAUCUGCUGGUGAUACCAAGAUCCUGGGAAGCUACAGGCACGGUCCCUCUGGAUAGUCAGAUGUGUUCACUGGUGUGUCACCUCCUCAGCCGCUGGGUUACAAAGCACCAAGGUACCAUUUAUUACACUGCUGAUCUCAGAUAUCACUUCCUCAGCCAUCUCCAUUCAUAGUUACAGAUGACAUGCAGAAUUAUUUUCAGCUCUGUUUGGCUUGUGUGCAAUCCAGUUUUGCAGCUCCCCUCUGGAUUCCGUAAAUACAACAGCAGGGAGAAGCCACCUUUUGUCCCCUUGUGCCAGGAGGACCUGCCAGACAUCAACAUGGACCAAACUGUUUUCUGUAAGUCUGCUCACAGAUUUCAUAAUCCAUCUGUUUUCUGUAAAAUGCAGUUAUUUACAGCAAAGUUCCCUCCACUGUACAGUAAGUGGCUGUUUAUAUUGCUAUUUCUGAUGAGGCUCAAUAUUGUCUAUUUUUCAUUCUAUCUCAGCACUGCCUUUAAUUGCCUCUUCCCCCCAGAUUUAUGUAUUAUCCCUCCCGGCUGUUCACACACAGACUUCCCUUUCCUGGCAAUCUUCCAGUCACUCUGUACUCCAGGCAGAGGUACUAAAACAGCAGAGCAGUUGAUGAGAGUUAAAAUAAAUCUACAUUCUGUUAUACUGUGUGGCCCAGAGAUGACUGAGCAAUUGAACAACAGAGCAGCCGAGACGCGUCAGAGGAAUCAGCUUCAUAACCCUGACACUUGAGACACCUGGAAAAGCAGAGACAUUCCCUGGAGAUCUGCUGAGGUCAUUAAAACAGCCAGGCUGACUCAGCAAUGC